GAGUGCUGGGAUUAAAGGUGUGCUCCACCAACACCCAGCUGCAUAAUAAGUUUUAAAAAUCACAAUUUAAAAUGGCACUAGAGCUCUGAUUUUAACACUAUCAAUAAACAGGUAAAAAAGAAUAGAAAAUGUUAACAGCUGCUACAGAGGUUGACCAAGGGUGAUAAGAGUAAUAGAAAUUAUAUUUAUUGUUUUAAAAUAUCCAUUAGUUUCCCAAAUCAAUGUGUACACUAUUUCUACAAUGAAAUCACUUUAGAAGCUACUCCAAAACACUCAGCCACUUGGGAAUGAGACCAGAGCCACCUGGCUGGGUAGGUGUUCAUAGAAAUGACCAUACACAGCUGAAGGCAUAGAGAGAGGUUCAUCUGAGUCACAGAGCCAGGCAUGGGCACCUGAGGGCAAUUCUCUUGAGUGUUUCUGGGACUCAGUCUCCACAUCUGUAAAAUGGGUAUCACAGUAGGUACUUUGUAAACUUACUCAGAGCUUCAUUGAGAAUAGCUUUAUUUUUUCUGGGCAUAUUUUCUCAUGCAUGAGUGACAACUCACAAAGCUGGGAGCAGGCAGUUCAGCCAGUUGGAAAGUGUCCUAUCUAGGUUCCUCAGUUGGUCUAAACCAUUUCCAGGCAUCUUGUCUGGUUUAGGCUUCUUCCUGACUGCUGGUCUAGUCUGAGGGUCUUCUUUGCAGCUCUGCUUGUUUGAGAGGGACUCUCAGCUUUUUCUUUACUCUGCCAGGGAGGGGCUUAGUGAAUCUGGUCUGUUUCAGGGACUUCCUGAAGCUGUUUUGAGUUGUUUACCUUUCUGCUUAAGGAGUUUUCCUGCAGGAUUUAAUAUUUCAGGAUGGAAGGAUGUGUUACAUAACAAGGGGCAGGCCAGAGUCCCCGGGGCAGUCACCUGUCAUGCACUGCAUUGCAGAAAGCUGAGUGCUCACUUGCCCACCAGAAGGAAACCUUGAAUGGAUGAACAGGUGGGACUGCCACCCAGGCAGCAGGGAAUAACAUCGGUGAAAAACAAAACUCAGAUGUCAUCAGCAUUGAGAUAAGGGGGAUGAUGAGGACUGAGGAGCCAGAAUAGGCUUCCAGAAGAGUGACUGCUGAGGUUUGGAGCAGGGACCACUGAGACCUGUGAUGAAUGAAUCCAAGAGGGCACACAUCCAAGGACAAGAGACAUGAGAAGUAUGAGCUACACACAGCUGGAAAGAACUUACUAAGCACAGCACCAAAUAACCUACUAAACACAACACCGAAGAGCCUACUAAAUACAGCAUUAAGAACCCACUGAACAGCCGG